rnacentral:rRNA from 1 species
GGGGCUUGCUCCCGGGUGGUAGGGGUAACACCCUCACGCGCCGCCUGCCUGUACCCUCUUUUUACGAGCACCUUUCGUUCUCCUUCGGCGGGGCAACCUGCCGCUGGAACCAAAACAAAACCUUUUUUGCAUCUAGCAUUACCUGUUCUGAUACAAACAAUCGUUACAACUUUCAACAAUGGAUCUCUUGGCUCUGGCAUCGAUGAAGAACGCAGCGAAAUGCGAUAAGUAGUGUGAAUUGCAGAAUUCAGUGAAUCAUCGAAUCUUUGAACGCACAUUGCGCCCCUUGGUAUUCCAUGGGGCAUGCCUGUUCGAGCGUCAUCUACACCCUCAAGCUCUGCUUGGUGUUGGGCGUCUGUCCCGCCUCUGCGCGCGGACUCGCCCCAAAUUCAUUGGCAGCGGUCUUUGCCUCCUCUCGCGCAGCACAAUUGCGUCUGCGGGGGGGCGUGGCCCGCGUCCACGAAGCAACAUUACCGUCUUUGACCUCGGAUCAGGUAGGGAUACCCGCUGAACUUAAGCA